rnacentral:rRNA from 1 species
UACAGAGGGCGCGAGCGUUGUCCGGAAUCACUGGGCGUAAAGGGCGCGUAGGUGGCCACCAUAAGGCCGCGGUGAAAGUUCGGGGCUCAACCCCGGAUCGGCCGCGGCGACUGUGGGGCUUGGGUACUGUAGAGGCAGAUGGAAUUCCGGGUGUAGCGGUGGAAUGCGUAGAGAUCCGGAGGAACACCGAUGGCGAAGGCAGUUCGCUGGGACGUUACUGACGCUGAGACGCGAAAGCGUGGGGAGCAAACAGG